CCGUGCCCAAGAGACUGGGAUAACACCUGGAAACAGAUGCUAAUACCGGAUAACAACACUAGACGCAUGUCUAGAGUUUAAAAGAUGGUUCUGCUAUCACUCUUGGAUGGACCUGCGGUGCAUUAGCUAGUUGGUAAGGUAACGGCUUACCAAGGCAAUGAUGCAUAGCCGAGUUGAGAGACUGAUCGGCCACAUUGGGACUGAGACACGGCCCAAACUCCUACGGAAGGCAGCAG
rnacentral:rRNA from 1 species